rnacentral:rRNA from 1 species
UGCCUAUACAUGCAGUCGAGCGGACAGAUGGGAGCUUGCUCCCUGAUGUUAGCGGCGGACGGGUGAGUAACACGUGGGUAACCUGCCUGUAAGACUGGGAUAACUCCGGGAAACCGGGGCUAAUACCGGAUGGUUGUUUGAACCGCAUGGUUCAAACAUAAAAGGUGGCUUCGGCUACCACUUACAGAUGGACCCGCGGCGCAUUAGCUAGUUGGUGAGGUAACGGCUCACCAAGGCAACGAUGCGUAGCCGACCUGAGAGGGUGAUCGGCCACACUGGGACUGAGACACGGCCCAGACUCCUACGGGAGGCAGCAGUAGGGAAUCUUCCGCAAUGGACGAAAGUCUGACGGAGCAACGCCGCGUGAGUGAUGAAGGUUUUCGGAUCGUAAAGCUCUGUUGUUAGGGAAGAACAAGUACCGUUCGAAUAGGGCGGUACCUUGACGGUACCUAACCAGAAAGCCACGGCUAACUACGUGCCAGCAGCCGCGGUAAUACGUAGGUGGCAAGCGUUGUCCGGAAUUAUUGGGCGUAAAGGGCUCGCAGGCGGUUUCUUAAAUCUGAUGUGAAAGCCCCCGGCUCAACCGGGGAGGGUCAUUGUAAACUGGGGAACUUGAGUGCCUAACAGGAGAGUGGAAUUCCACAAACAUCGGUGAAAUAGCGUAUACAAGUGGAGGAACACCACUGUCGUAAAGGUACACUCUGCUCUAUGACUGA